CCUACGGGCGGCAGCAGUGGGGGAUAUUGCACAAUGGGGGGAACCCUGAUGCAGCGACGCCGCGUGGGUGAAGGAGUGCUUCGGCAUGUAAAGCCCUAUCGGCAGGGAAGAAGCAAGACGGUACCUGACUAAGAAGCCCCGGCUAACUACGUGCCAGCAGCCGCGGUAAUACGUAGGGGGCGAGCGUUAUCCGGAUCCACUGGGUGUAAAGGGAGCGUAGACGGCCAUGCAAGCCAGGGGUGAAAGCCCGGGGCCCAACCCCGGGACUGCCCUUGGAACUGUGCGGCUAGAGUGCGGGAGGGGCAGGCGGAAUUCCUGGUGUAGCGGUGAAAUGCGUAGAUAUCAGGAGGAACACCGGCGGCGAAGGCGGCCUGCUGGACUGCGACUGACGUUGAGGCUCGAAAGCGUGGGGAGCGAACAGGAUUAGAUACCCGGGUAGUC
rnacentral:rRNA from 1 species